rnacentral:lncRNA from 1 species
UCUUUUGCAUGUCUUCUUCCUUCUCAUUCUCAACAACUGAACCUUGAAUUCUAGAUCAGAUUUGGUGUCCUAAAGAUCCAACCAUAGAAAGCUCUCAUCCGCAUUUGCUCAAUUUUCAAUUCCCUCACCGGUAAGCCAAAUUCUCCUCUCUUAAAUUUGGGAAUCAUGAUCAUGCAAAGGGAAUCUGCUGCAUGCAACUUUCCUAAGCUUUUUCCCCCAAAUUUCUAAUCACAUUCAAACU